GAUGAACGCUGGCGGCGUGCCUAAUACAUGCAAGUCGAGCGGACGGACGAGGCGCUUGCUUGGCUGACGUUAGCGGCGGACGGGUGAGUCACAUGAGGAUACCCUACCUAUCAGACUGGUAUAACUUCGGGAAAGCGGAUCUAACACCGGAUAAUAUUUUGAAGCGCGUGGGUCAUCGGAGAAAGACGGUCGUGCUGGCACUUAUCGAUGGUUCCAAGCUGCAUUGGCUAGUUGGUAAGGUAAAGGCUUACCAAGGCUAGGAGGCGUAUCCGACCUGAGAGGCUGAUCGGCCACACUGGAACUUAGACACGGUCCAGGCUCCUACGGGAGGCAGCAGUAGGGAAUCGUGCGCAAUGGGCGAAAGCCUUACGGAGCGACGGCGCGUGUGUGAAGAAGGUCCUCGGAUCGUAAAACUCUGUUAUUAGGGAAGAACAGAUGUGUAAUUAACCGUGGACUGCUUGACGGUACCGAAUCAAAAAGCACCGGCUAACUACGUG
rnacentral:rRNA from 1 species